GGCCCAAUGGGUAGAAGGAGAGGAAGGAGAGGAAGCGGGCCUGCUUAAGAGUCGGGUUGUUUGGGAAUGCAGCCCAAAUAGGGCGGUAAACUCCGUCCAAGGCUAAAUACAGGCAAGAGACCGAUAGCGAACAAGUACCACAAGG
rnacentral:rRNA from 1 species